rnacentral:rRNA from 1 species
CGAUCCCAAAGAAAGGCCCGGCUAACUUCGUGCCAGCAGCCGCGGUAAGACGAAGGGGCCAAGCGUUGUUCGGAAUUAUUGGGCUUAAAGAGCACGUAGGCGGAAAGUUAAGUGUUUUGUGAAAUCCCUCGGCUUAACCGAGGAACUGCAGGGCAUACUGGCUUUCUUGAGGCAAGUAGGGGUGCAUGGAACUCUGGGUGGAGCGGUGAAAUGCGUAGAUAUCCAGAGGAACGCCAGCGGAGAAAUCGGUGCACUGGGCUUGUUCUGACGCUGAGGUGCGAAAGCGUGGGGAGCGAACGGGAUUAGAUACCCCGGUAGUCCACGCCGUAAACGAUGUCUACUAGGUCGUGGGGAAUCUGACUUUCUCGCGGCCGAAGCGAAGGUAUUAAGUAGACCGCCUGGGGAGUACGGUCGCAAGGCUAAAACUCAAAGGAAUUGACGGGGGCUCACACGAGCGGUGGAGCAUGUGGCUCAAUUCGAAGCAACGCGAAGAACCUUAUCCUGGGUUUGACAUGCUUGGAUGCCUGCCGUGAAAGCGGAUUUGGCUGCCUUCGGGUGAAACUUGCACAGGUGCUGCAUGGCUGUCGUCAGCUCGUGUCGUGAGAUGUUGGGUUAAGUCCCGUAACGAGCGAAACCCUUGUCGUUAGUUGCCAGCGCGUAAUGGCGGGGACUCUAACGAGACUGCCGGUGUUAAACCGGAGGAAGGUGGGGAUGACGUCAAGUCCUCAUGGCCUUUAUGCCCAGGGCUGCACACGUGCUACAAUGGUCCGGACAAACCGACGCAAGACCGUGAGGUGGAGCAAAUCGGAAAAACCGGGCCCCAGUUCGGAUUGCAGGCUGCAACUCGCCUGCAUGAAGUCGGAAUCGCUAGUAAUCGCAGAUCAGCUAUGCUGCGGUGAAUAUGUUCCUGAGCCUUGUACACACCGCCCGUCAAGUCAUGGAAGCUGGGAGUACCUGAAGUCGGGUAGUUAACUUUCGAGAGACGCCUGCCGAUGGUAAGCUCGGUGACUGGGGCUAAGUCGUAACAAGGUAACCUUAAUUAAAA